AGAUAGUCGGGGAACUCGACUACAGCGUUCUCUCUUGUUUUUUUUGACUUCUUAGUUUUCGGGAGUGUAUGUAGAUACGAAAAUGUGGAAUGCAAUGGCGAAGUCAUUUGUCACGCGCCGGGAACAACAACAACCACGGGCGGUUCAUUGACGAGCGAACAAUGAACCGGGCGGGCAAACAAACCGCCCCUCCGCCCGAGCAAGUCCCUUAACCGCCGCCGGAUCCCCUGGCACCUUUUCAGGGCAUCGAGAAAUAAAAACCAUCGAACCGCACAGAUAUAAAAACCGAGAACUAAAUCAACAAUUACCAGAUAAGCGAACGGCCGGCGGCGAGCCCAAUUCACCACGAGUAUCAGAAGUUCGAACACAUCUGCGAUUUAAAUAUCGUCACCAAACUAGCGCGGCUCUUGAAAUUAGUGGAACAAAUGGAAGAGCAACGGGUGCAGCCAGUUUUGAGCACCGAGGCUCGACACGAAAGACCCUGCACCCAGAAAAUCCCAACCAGGAACGUACUGCGUUUAUUUGAGAGGGGUUUUAGAAAUUUGGUGUUUAAGAAUCUAAUAAGUGAAAACAUAAGUAAAAACGUCAAAUAAAAUAAGGUUGCGGUACCGAUGUACGAAAUACUGAUUUUUCGCAUAAUGCUAGAUAUUCUCCCCGCCCAAAUGGCUCCUUUACUAAGUUGCAACCUAUGAUUAAAAUUAGUCUGCACACUGCAAGGGCAUACAAAUACAUACCAACAUAUCAAAGGUUUAUUUACACAAGAGAAUAGUUAACAAUUAUUAGAACCGGAUGCAUAUGAAUAAUGUUAAACUAUAUUGGGCUAAAGUGUAAUAUUAAACAAUAGUUAUUUCUUUUUAUCAGCUUAUAUAAGAGUUUGUUUUAAGAUCAGCUUCAGUUUCCCCUUUUCAAAUACAUAUUCGUACGCCCCUGAUCCCAACGAAACAAGGGCCAUGCAGCUUGUAAUUUCAUGCACUUAAACUCGCUUUUUGUUCCUCCCUCCCAGAUAUUUUUUCCUUCGUUUUGUUAAUUCGGUUGUUUGUCCGAUUUUCUUUUUUUCAUUUGGGGUAAUGGUUUUUUCAGCUACGAGUCGUUUUCGGUACGUCAUCGUUUCCUUGUUUCGUUUUGAUAUCUCGCUGGAAAAAACCUCGGGCUUAUAUUUAUAUUUUUGAACCCCUGUGCAAUUUGAGGUGUAGUGAUUACCAGGGAACUGGGCAAAGGGGUGUGAUUGGCCGACUGCGUGCCGUUUUCGUAAUUACAUUGAUGGUGCGCAGGGUUGCCCUUGUCGGCUGGGUCUCAAAAAUUACAAGUAUGAUCAUUUGGUGCAUUUACUGGCGCAGUUACCCUAUUCCCGAAACCAGUUUUCCUGUUUUAGUUACUGGACUGCGUUUAGAAUUUAGGCGCGGCUAUAAUAUACAUAGCCAAGUAUAGUCAUUAAAAGCUUUUGAAGCGACAUCGGGGUAUAACUUCUUAUGGGGCAGCGGUGUCCGUAAAAUAUACUACAGACAAGUUGGCAUAGAUAACUAAUUCUCCAAAAUUCUUAACUCGCUUUUUGCAGAUCCACUGUGAUGUCUUCCCGUGCGCACAUUUUUCCCGUCCGUCCACAUUUUCCGCUACACUGAUACUCGUAUAUCUGUUUGAGGUGACCCAUUUUGCUUGCACAGUGCCUGCUAUUUAGCAUUCACCAUUGGCCAUUCAGCAUUGUGCCAGCGUAACCUUAUUUCGAAGGCAAAUACUAAAGAAUUACAUUAAACACACAGAGGCAUGCCGAAAUGGAAACGAAAAAUCAAAGGAAAGAAAAUUAACAUGAAGGGAAUCUGAAAAAGGGGCAGACGGAAACGGACUAACGAACGGCCGGUAAAAAUGCCGGGGGCGGUGGGAAAUUUUGGCAAAGAGUCAGGCACGUGUUUAUAGCGCAGAAAUUUGUAAACUUUAGUGUUUCCUCAGAGACCCAAAGAGACAGCUGGACGACAUGGUCGUGACAGACCCAGACCGGAAAAUGAACAGACGGACUGACAAACGGACGGACGGAACGGCGGACGGUCGACGUAAUGAUGAGGCAAUUUCUUCUGGGCACGACUUGCAACUGCAUUUUGUAGUCAGCAGUUUCUUGUCCUGCUUCGCCGAGCCAUCUCAACAUCAAGCUUACCUUCUGAAUUAACCCCGAGCUGGAUUGGGACAGCUGAUUGGGAGUGUUUUUCUACCGGAGAUGCUCCAACCCACUUAAGCUGCAAGAAUACCAAUUUUUUCCUGUCCUUUUUUGGCCAAUAAAUCUUGUGGCACAUUGUGUACCCUCUUUUCCUUUCUUUAA